AUGAUCACGACCUCCAACUUAGGUGAUCUUGGGUGAAUGUGAAAUGUUUAUGAAGUACCUGUUGCUUUCAUUAAGCUGAUAGUUUUUGUUAACGGGACAUUAUAUAAAUAAUUAUGAAAUAUUCUUCUCACAUUCUUGUUCAUGCAAAAUGAAAAUUGGUUUUACUAUAAUUUAAAUUGAAUGAUGUUCUAGGUUUUUAUUACUUUAGAAUAGUACCCUCGUAGCAAAGGAGAUAAUGACUUCAAAUAAAUUUUAACUGAAAAUUGGAGAAACUUAAAGACUUACAUUUAUUAAGGAUUGUGGAUUAGAUACUAUUUCUUCUUUUUGCAUGGCAUUAAGUUCUAGUUGAAUGCUUGUUAGUUGUUGGUUUCCUAUUUCUUUCUUUCUUUCCUUCCUCCUUUCUUGGUUAUUUUGUUAGACUGAUGUUGCGAUUGACUAUACCAUUCCUUUUUUUCCAUUCUGCUAAGUUGAAGGCCAUUCUUUUUAAUUAAACUCUCAAGGCUAAAUCCUUCUUGACACCCACGGCCAUGUCAUUUUUGGUCCACUUAUUUAUUUAUUUUGCUCUUGCAACCUAGAUGUAUUCAAAAUUCCCUAUCUGUGUUUCUUUGGAUCUUUGUUGGUCAUUACCAAACUCUCUUAGAUGGUGCUUGCUAGAGGUGGCAAAUGGAUGGUAUGGGUUGGGGUGUAGACUCGUAUACCCAUCCCAUUCAAAAUUUAUAUGGGUACUCAUACCCAGUUAACCCAAAUCAACCCUUACCUACUCAUUUGCCCUUUAUUGAUAAAUUAGUGGUGGUAAAAAUAUUGGUGGCUAUCUCGGAAGGUGGUGGUGGUGGCACCAGCAGAGGUGGUAGCUAUAUCAUUUGCAAAAAGCCUACAUUGAGGAAUAUCCUCUCGUAUAUGUGUUGUAAGUUCAUUCCUUAAUAAAACAAAGAGACAAGGGUUUAUAGUUAACUCUUUAUAUUAGCUAAAUGUGAUAAGGAAUUUCUCGGUCUCUUAUUAGUCUUUGCACUAGUGAAUGUUCCUUGAAAUCUAUUUUAGGCAUAUUUAUAUAUUUAACAAAUAGUCCCUUCAUUUCGAACACCCACCAUAGAACAACUCUCAAAAUGGGUCAAACACACAGGUGGAAUGAAGAAACAGAUGAGAAUGAGAUUUACUUCCCUUUUAGCAUAUAACACACAUGCAAGGAGAGCUUUUUAGGCCUCCAUUUAGGCUACAAGUCACUAGUGUUAAUUCUUUGGAGAAUUGCAAUUAAACAUAAGCCCUUAAUAUAGACAGACUUUAUCCUUCAAUAGUGGAUUUGGCAAAGGAAAAAGAAUGGUAACUGGAACACAAGUAAAAUGAGUUUGUGAGGGAUAGGUAAAACAAUUCCAUAAAUCCUUCUUUUUCUGAAACAUAGGAACAGAGGUGUUCCUCUAAUUUUUAGGCAUCUUUAGUCUCAAUAUGAGAAAAAUCCAAUGGUUAUGCUGAUUAUUUUAUGUACUUGGGAUUUGGGAUUCUUUCUAUUUAUUGAUUAAGGACAUGCGUUUCCAAUACUAUUCAAUCCUUGCUCUUGGUUUGUAAUUCUAUCCAUUCUAAAAGAUCCUUUCUCCAAAUGUGCUCUUUUGUGAAAUCUGUUGCAGAAGCAGAAGUCAACAUUAGUGUUAAAAUUAGGACUGUUUUGCUAGGCUUUCUGAUGCACAGCGCAUAUGUUUUCUAUUGCCAUGGGAUAUGACUUUUUGUUUUGUAAUUUAGGUAUUUUUCUAUUUCACUAAGAUGUUAA
rnacentral:misc_RNA from 1 species